UGCCGACAGGCUUGACGAUGUUGUUAGUAUGAACAGACAGAUUGGCAGCUACAGCAGAUGAUUCAGUAUGACAACCGCAGUUUACUGGCUUCCGAUUCAAAGUUUGGAACAAACAAGUUAAAGAUGGAUGGGUGCUCUAUAUGAUCGAGUUCGUACAAAAGGCCCGACAUGGCAGUUGGGUGGCUUCAUUAUUGAUGAUCCAUUGACUGAUGUGCGCACUAUAAGGGAAGUGUUUCUGUGCCCGGUGUUGAUUUCCUUAUGGCGUGUCCGUCACGCUUGGCAUAAAAAAAUGAUGAACAAGUGUUCAGAUUUUGAGAGGCGUUCAAUGAUGUCUAAAUGACUUGGGGAGGCAAUAUCCAGCAUCUGCAGAGGAAACGGUGAUAUAGAAUUAUUUCAGGCCUUCCUGGAAGAUUUUAUUGAUUGCUCGGGCUUUGUAGACUACUUCAAAGCUCUAUGGUUUCCAAGACUUGGUUGGUCCAUGUACCUUGCUUUUCUGGCCGUACCUGGAUUUUACUUGUUACAAGUUAUUUGAUAAGUUCUCUUAUCCAACUUUUUAAUCUCAAUAUCUUCCAGGGGCAUGGACAAGCGUCUUGAAGACCAACCCGUUGGCUACUGCUGAGGUAGCUUCAACAAUUGAGAGGUACCACCACCUGCUAAAACUUCGGCUGUUGAAUGAGGCAGAUGAAAGCAUCUACCAACGUGCAGACUGGUUGGUUCACAAGUUGGGUACAAAGGUUCACUCUUACUAUUGGUUGGAUGAAUUUUCUGGGAAGGACAGUUUCUCUCGCUACUGGAGGAGUGAGUGGAAAACCGGCCCAAACCCAUGGCAGCAGGGAUUGCAAAUUCUAGAUUCUGAUAUUGUAAUUGAAGGCAAUUGUGCUAGAGUGGUCUGCCAGAAACACAAGGAGAAGUCCCAUGCUGUUCUGAACCCAAGCUCUGAGCUUGCAUUGUGUGACUGUAGCUGGUCAAGGAAGGGAAACCUUUGCAAGCAUGCAAUGAAGUUGGCUAAGGUUUAAUAAGUUAUAUAACAGAAAUAGAAUUUAAUUUGUGUAUGGUGUGGAUUCCAAAACUAAUCUGCUUCUACUGGAACGCUCGCUUGUACUCCCUCCGUCCCAAAAUAACUGUCUCAAGCUUAGUACUAGAAUUUAUUUUGAGACGGAGGGAGUACUAGAAUUUUUCUAAAGCUAAUGAAAUCCCCUUGUACUCCAUCUAAAGCUUUCAUGAUGACUACUUUUCCAAGAUACAUGUGACAAAGAGGAGGAGCUCAAGGAGCUGAAUGUGAAAGGAUAAAGUAGUCAGGAAGGAGAAAUCAUAUGUUGGCUUAACUAAUGCUUCCUAAUCAGAACAUGAACCUUAUGAUGACCCAUAGUUGGAUGUAUGUGAGAGGAUGAACAUUCAGACAUCCUUGAUGACUGGGAUUCUAGGAAGACGAUCACAUACUCGACCAGCCCACCUGUCACCGCGAGAAUCAUCCUGGUAACAAUAAAAUCUACAACCAAGAACAUUUGUUUGUGUCAGACAUCUUUAAUAACUAACGUGGAAGUAUUGACAGUUCUCCACAAGCUAAUUGUUUGAUGUGAUUAUCUGGUGGUGCUUUUGCUCCAGCUUCAAUUGCAUUGCUUUUGCUGUAUCGAUGGACUCUUUUCCCUUCGGUCAUUGAUUGAACCGAGUUGAUUCUGCAUAGCCGCAUAGGGAUAGGUACUUUUGAUAGUCUACUAUACAAAAAUAUUUGGUCAGUUAUUACCCCCCCUAUGUAUCUAUUCUUUCUCAAGUUUGAAUUGUUAAUAUAUCCAUUAGAGGAUUAGUUAUCCGUCUGCGCAAGGACCAAUACAGGUUAAGCACCCAUUGUUUUAAAGUAGAUUGUCUCUAUUCUCAUGCACGUGGACUUUCGGGGUAUGGAUACAAUGAAGUUCCACAAUGAUUCUCUUAAUUUCUAGGUUUCAGUAUCUUUUA